rnacentral:misc_RNA from 1 species
UUAUUUUCAAAUAUAUAAUUAGCUUAAAUCAUUUACAAGUGCCAGAAAAUUCAAAUACAUCAUUUGGUUUGGGGGAAAAAAACUAAAUGAAAAUAAUUGAACACCGGAAAACAUAGAUCAUCAAACAAUGAACAUGGAGAGCCUCAAUUAUGUGAAACUCUAAAUUUGGAAAAUAGAGGAGCAUUGUCCACCACAAAAUAGUAGCAAUUGGUGAGGCUCAUCUCUAUGAAGUAAAACCAUCUCCCUCGCCAAUAUGGGUUUAUGUAUAAAAUUGCUGCUAUUCCUAGCAACACCAUGAUGUAAGACACCACAAAGCUCACAUAAAAAACACCCAAGUCCAUGAAGCCAUUAUCUUCUUUUUCUCCUGUUGAAGUUCUUGGUGGUGAUGGAGAUGUGUUGUAGCAACUCUUUGGCAGUGGUGGUCCGCAAAGGAAGGGAUUUCCCUCAUAGCUACUUUGUUCAAAUGUUGCAAAUUGUGCAACUCUCUCAGGUGUUUUUCCAGAUAGGUUGUUGUGUGCUACACUGAAUACAGCUAGAGAAUAUAGCUGAGUAAGUUGAGGAAUUUUUCCAUCCAAAUUGUUAUAAGAAAGAUCCAAACUCUCAAUUUGCUUGAGGUUUGAAAAUGUUGGUGGGAUUGGUCCAACCAAUUUGUUGUGGGACAAAUUCAACACCUUGAUCAUGCCAAGAUUUCCAAUUUCAGGAGGAAUCUCACCUGUCAAAUUGUUGCAAGAGAGAUCGAUUCCAGAGAAAUAGAGGAGGAUGCUUGGUUGGUAAAAAUAGAAAUUAUUCUUGGUUGUAAACUCCACAGGUUGUUCAGGUCGUACACCAGAUAUUGGAGCUAACCAAUCAUCAUUUCUAGAUCUUAGGCAAUAAGGAAUAUGACCAGAAAGAUUGUUAUGAGAAAGAUCAAUCAAGUGUAACUUAUCCAACUUGCAUAGCUGAAGAGGGAUUUCACCUUCAAAAUGAUUAUGACUCAAGAGAAUAUAGCCCAAUGGAAUGUUGCCAAUCCAAUUCGGAAUGUGUCCUAUCAAGUUAUUAUGACCGAGAUCUAACACUAGCAACGAAAGGCAAUUAUAGAAUGAAUCCAUUAACGAUCCCUGUAGCCUAUUUUUAGACAAAUGGACUUCUAUUAUACCUAGAGGGCAGAAAUUGGAUGGCAAACUUCCAGAAAUGUAAUUCUGUGAAAGAUCCAAAAUUUGAAGAGAAGACAUAUUCCUCAUCCAAUUAGGGAUCUUACCAGAGAGAUUAUUAUAACUGACAUCCAAUACUCUCAAGUUAUUACAAUUAGAAAGGCUAUUUGGGAUGCUUCCAGUGAAACUGUUGUUUGAAAGUAUGAGUUCAUGUAAUGAGACACAACCCAUGGUUAAGUUUGAUAUACUACCUGAUAAUCUAUUGUUGGAUAAGUCUAACAUUCCCAAUAAGCUCAUAUUUCCAAAUG